rnacentral:rRNA from 1 species
UACGUAGGGCGCGAGCGUUGUCCGGAAUUAUUGGGCGUAAAGAGCUCGUAGGCGGCCGGUUGCGUCUGCUGUGAAAUCCCGGGGCUUAACCCCGGGCGUGCAGUGGAUACGGGCCGGCUGGAGGCAGGCAGGGGAGAAUGGAAUUCCCGGUGUAGCGGUGAAAUGCGCAGAUAUCGGGAGGAACACCGGUGGCGAAGGCGGAUCUCUGGGCCGAUACUGACGCUGAGGAGCGGAAAGCGUGGGGAGCGAACGAGG